rnacentral:rRNA from 1 species
GAUGAACGCUGGCGGCGUGCCUAAUACAUGCAAGUCGAGCGAACAGAUGAGGAACUUGCUCCUCUGACGUUAGCGGCGGACGGGUGAGUAACACGUGGAUAACCUACCUAUAAGACGGGGAUAACUUCGGGAAACCGGAGCUAAUACCGGAUAAUAUAUUUAACCGCAUGGUUCAAUAGUGAAAGACGGUUUUGCUGUCACUUAUAGAUGUAUCCGCUCCGCAUUAGUUAGUGGGUAAGGUAACGGCUUACCAAGGCAACAAUCCUAAGCCGCCGUGAGAGGGUGUCCGGCCACACUGGAACUGAGCCACGGUCCAGACUCCUACGGGAGGCAGCAGUAGGGAAUCUUCCGCAAUGGGCGAAAUCUUGCCGGAGCAACGCGGCGUGAUUGAUGAAGGUCUUCGGAUCGUAAACCUCUGUUAUAAGGGAAGAACAAAUGUGUAAGUAACUAUGCACGUCUUGACGGUACCUAAUCAGAAAGCCACGGCUAACUACGUG